GACGAACGCUGGCGGCGUGCUUAACACAUGCAAGUCGAACGGAAAGGCCCUGCUUUUGUGGGGUGCUCGAGUGGCGAACGGGUGAGUAACACGUGAGUAACCUGCCCUUGACUUUGGGAUAACUUCAGGAAACUGGGGCUAAUACCGGAUAGGAGCUCCUGCUGCAUGGUGGGGGUUGGAAAGUUUCGGCGGUUGGGGAUGGACUCGCGGCUUAUCAGCUUGUUGGUGGGGUAGUGGCUUACCAAGGCUUUGACGGGUAGCCGGCCUGAGAGGGUGACCGGCCACAUUGGGCCUGAGAUACGGCCCAGCCUCCUCCGGGAGGCAGCAGUGGGGAAUAUUGCACAAUGGGCGGAAGCCUGAUGCAGCAACGCCGCGUGCGGGAUGACGGCCUUCGGGUUGUAAACCGCUUUCGCCUGUGACGAAGCGUGAGUGACGGUAAUGGGUAAAGAAGCACCGGCUAACUACGUG
rnacentral:rRNA from 1 species